AUUGAACGCUGGCGGCAUGCCUUACACAUGCAAGUCGGACGAGUGGCGGACGGGUGAGUAAUGUAUGGGAAAGUGCCGAGUAAAGGGGGAUAACCAAUCGAAAGGUUAGCUAAUACCGCAUAUUAUUAGAGCGGCCAAGAUGGGAUUAGCUAGUUGGUGGGGUAAAGGCGUACCAAGGCGACGAUCCGUAGCGGGUCUGAGAGGAUGACCCGCCACACUGGAACUGAGACACGGCCCAGACUCCUACGGGAGGCAGCAGUGGGGAAUUUUGGACAAUGGGCGCAAGCCUGAUCCAGCCAUGCCGCGUGUCUGAAGAAGGCCUUCGGGUUGUAAAGGACUUUUAGUGGGGAAGCGGUACUCAAAGAAUAAGCACCGGCUAACUACGUGCCAGCAGCCGCGGUAAUAC
rnacentral:rRNA from 1 species